CCACGCCACCAUCUUCUUCCCCUCCAGAUGGCACGCCGCCACCGCCACUCCAUCGAUCGCCUCCCGGCGCAGCGGCCACUUCGUCAUCUCUCCUCAGUGCCUCCUCUUCGUAUCUCCUACCGCAUCCUCUAUCCAUCAUCACGAGAUCUUCUCCACCCCCAUCCAACUAGGUUAUAGCAACGGGAAAGACGGUGAGAGGUCGAGGUCAUUGACACUGGAUCUCCUGACGGUGUCUCCGACGGGCCAGAGUCCUCCGGGCGAUGGGGAGGGGAUUACCACUGCAGCGGCGGGGGCAACCCUAGCGCGGCCGUGCGGGGGAUUGACCGCAGCGGGUCGUCGCACUCUCAUCCCCCUCUUCUCUCUCCAACCGCCCUCAUCACCACCUCCUCUCCCGCAUUCUUGCUCAUCUUUUUUCAUCGGUGGAGGCAGAAAAUUGGGAAAGAACGUUGGAGUACAGAGGAUGGGCGGCCAUGGUUCGGACGUCCUGGCCUCAGCGGGAGGAGGUCGGAGCAGACAGAGUUCCAACGCGGCCCCUGUGCAAGUAUUGAGGAAUGGCGCUAUCUACUUGGUGGAACAGGAAGGGAGCAAGCAGGAGGCCCCAAAUUGUUUUUAGGUCUGAUCGUUGCCGUUCUGGGUAGAUACCACAUCGAUAUUAUUAGUUGUUCUUGCAAAGUAUCGAGCCCCACUAAUGCAGCAAGAUUUACAAGACUGCAGGCGCAGGGUAUUCUCUGCCCACUUCCAAUGGUGGACUCUUACUUUGCAACUUCUUUCUUUCUUGGAAUUAGACAAUGCACUCUAUGUGUUUGAUCCACUGGUCCCCUGCCAAGGCUUCAGUUAUAACAUUUAUAAGGAUUUUCCUUGGGAAUAAUGGAGCUAAUUCAGUGGCAAGAAAGUGACUAUCAAGUAUGGCGCAUACAUGUUCAGAAAACUAUUCUGAAUGGUUUGGUCGAAAUGAAUGAUCUGAAUCAUCUAGCUAUACUAAAUGGCUAUCUUUGAAUCAUAGACUGCUUCCUAACAUGUUUACAAUCCCGUGUUCAUACUUGAGCUCCCCCUCAUCUAUCAGUGUUAUUUCCAAAGAUCCAACAGAUGCAAUAACUCUAAUAUAUUUAUUCCUAUAUGCAUCAGACUGAUAAAUCGAUUUGACAUUGCUCCCCCUCAUUUUUCGAGAUGCAGGACAUCCUGUAAUUGAAUAUGAGAAAUUUGAGAAAGCUGCUUGUACUGAAAGCAUGUGGUAGAAUGGCUCUACCAAAUGCAAAACUAUUUGGAAGAGGUAUGUUUUUAUUAGCUUUUGUUAGGAUGUAGUAUGAUUUAUGUGAGUCUCUCUCUCCCUCCCUCUCCUGGUCAUGAAAGAAAAAAUACAUGGUAUGUGUUAUCAUGCAAUCAUUUUAGUUUUGCAUAUUUUAUGGGAAUAUUUGCUCUGUAUAUUCUGAAGUAAAUGUUUGAUAGUAUUUCAACUGAACAAUUAAAGCACACAAUGUGCAAUCGACUUUAGUUUCAGUUAUGGACUUCUUGUCGUGUAAAAUCCUGAACUCCUGAUGUGUAUGAUGCACAUAGUUUGCCAUACUCAACGAUUUGCAGUUUAGAAUACAAGAACAAGAACAGAAACGUUUAGAUUACUAUGCUCCAAAGUUCUUUGAAGAUCAACUGUGGUCAUAUAUGUGGUGUGAGUGCGCAUAAUUGUACUGAUGUACUUUUUUAAGCGAUAGAUGGUUUGGCGACCGGUUAUCUGUUAACAUUAUAUGAAUUGGGCAUUAACAUUGAUGAUGAUAUUGGUAACUAAAGCAUGGACUCUGUUCUGCCACUACCUGAAAUGUCUAAAUGGAUUUAGGUGUCAGUUUCAUGUUGGGUUAAGAAUAUUUUUCCAUGAACAUACUGGCUCCAAUUUUCAGUGUAAGCGAAGUGCUAGACGCAAAUUAGCUCGGGAAUAUGUCAGAUGGUUGGAGGCAGAGAGUUAUUUGAGAAUGUCUUUUUGGGAGAACCUAUUUGAUGAAAAAGAAGGUCUAUUUUUUUAUUUCUUCACUCUUAUUUGUAUACAGUUUCUUCCGUUCUCCUGUUAAGUAAAUAAAGCAAAUAAAGCGAGAAAGAAGAUAUCUCAAGAACUACGUUUGUACACACUAUCAUAAUACUUUUAGUUUCCAAACAUAUACUAUCUUGCUGUUUAAACGCAUUAGUGGUCAUCUUAAUUAAUAUCAAUUACUGCCCAAAAGCUGCAGUGCAAACAGUAGGAACUUCACCUGUUAUGUUAUGUUCGCUAAUCCCAGAUAUUCCUUAACACGGUAAACCAUUUGUCUGGUUGGUUCUCAGAUUUAUUGGAGUUAUUUUCAAGGGGUGUGUUUUAAUCACGUACACAUCUGAACCAGCAUAUCCAACAGUACAAUAUGCUCUACUUGCAUUUUCUACAGAAGAGUAUUAUAGUGUAGCCGUUCCUCAAAGGUAUUCAGUUGUCAGAACCCAUGGCAUGUCCAAUCUUAAGCUCGCUCAUGAUCACAUCGCAGAAUGGCGUAGCGGCAUUUGUCAUAAACUUGUACUCAUCAGGUCUGCUCAGUAUAAGUCCUCAAACUCUUCACCAAGUUUUCCAUUUUUUUCCUGUUGUGCAUUUUGUUUUCGUUACUAUUUACAAGUCUCGUUGCAAAAUUCUACAAAUUGUAAACAAGGACAUGUAUAUUCUUUUGUAAUCUGGCUGCCUUGCGCUCCAUAAUUUCAUGGUAUGUUUAUUCCAGAGUUUUUGAGUUUUGUGUGCCCGUAAGCAAAGAGGGGUUCAAAAUACAGCGGUGGUAGUACUUAUUAAUUGUUUUUUGAUGUGCUAAGCUAAACGUAAAUCCAAGCUGAA